rnacentral:rRNA from 1 species
GACGAACGCUGGCGGCGUGCCUAAUACAUGCAAGUUGAGCGCUGAAGGUUGGUACUUGUACCAACUGGAUGAGCAGCGAACGGGUGAGUAACGCGUGGGGAAUCUGCCUUUGAGCGGGGGACAACAUUUGGAAACGAAUGCUAAUACCGCAUAAAAACUUUAAACACAAGUUUUAAGUUUGAAAGAUGCAAUUGCAUCACUCAAAGAUGAUCCCGCGUUGUAUUAGCUAGUUGGUGAGGUAAAGGCUCACCAAGGCGAUGAUACAUAGCCGACCUGAGAGGGUGAUCGGCCACAUUGGGACUGAGACACGGCCCAAACUCCUACGGGAGGCAGCAGUAGGGAAUCUUCGGCAAUGGACGAAAGUCUGACCGAGCAACGCCGCGUGAGGGAAGAAGGUUUUCGAAUCGUAAAACUCUGUCGGUAGAGAAGGACGUUGGUGAGAGUGGAAAGCUCAUCAAGUGACGGUAACUACCCAGAAAGGGACGGCUAACUACGUG